rnacentral:rRNA from 1 species
ACCGGCAGCUAGCUCUCUGCAACUCUCACAUGGUCACCCACUGAAACUAAGCAGGGCUGCGCCCGGUCAGUACCUGGAUGGGAGACCACAUGGGAAAACUAGGUUGCUGCUAGUG